UGAUCAUUCUACUCCUCAGCAUCUAUCCUAACAUCCUAGUUUCAGCUUCUUCUUUCAGUGACCAAGUUCACCAGACUCCACCUGAUAUUUAUACAAAAGAAGAAGCUAAAAUCCACUGCUCACACAUUAUUUCAGGCUAUAACCUAAUCCUCUGGUACAAGCAGUCAGCAAAACAGCUACAAUUUCUCGGAUACAUGCUUUAUGACAAAGGUAAUCCAGAACCAGGAGUGAAUGUAACAAUGGAUGGGGGUGCAAAUCAAAAAGAGAACUGCACAUUAACGAUUAAGGAUCUCAAAGUGAGCAGCAGUGGUAUCUACUUCUGUGCUGCUAGUCACCA
ensembl:lncRNA